rnacentral:rRNA from 1 species
GAUGAACGCUGGCGGUCUGCUUAACACAUGCAAGUCGAACGAACUCUUCGGAGUGAGUGGCGGACGGGUGAGUAACGCGUGAGAAUCUGGCUGUGGGUCGGGGACAACCACUGGAAACGGUGGCUAAUACCGGAUGAGCCGAAAGGUAAAAGAUUUAUUGCCCACAGAUGAGCUCGCGUCUGAUUAGCUAGUUGGUAAGGUAAAAGCGUACCAAGGCGACGAUCAGUAUCUGGUUUGAGAGGAUGAGUCAGACACACUGGAACUGAGACACGGUCCAGACUCCUACGGGAGGCAAGCAGUGGGAAUUUUCCGCAAUGGGCGAAAGCCUGACGGAGCAAUCUCGCGUGAGGGAUGACUGCCUAU